GCGGGUAUAGCUCAGUGGUAGAGCAUCUCAUUGGGAACGAGAAUGCUGCGUGUUCGAGUCACGUUACCCGCC
rnacentral:tRNA from 1 species